GUGGGGAAUCUUAGACAAUGGGCGCAAGUCUGAUCUAGCCAUGCCGCGUGAGCGAUGAAGGCCUUAGGGUUGUAAAGCUCUUUCGUGGGGGAAGAUAAUGACUGUACCCCAAGAAGAAGCCCCGGCUAACUCCGUGCCAGCAGCCGCGGUAAUACGGAGGGGGCUAGCGUUGUUCGGAAUUACUGGGCGUAAAGCGCACGUAGGCGGACUGGAAAGUCAGGGGUGAAAUCCCGGGGCUCAACCCCGGAACUGCCUUUGAAACUCCCAGUCUUGAGUUCGAGAGAGGUGAGUGGAAUUCCGAGUGUAGAGGUGAAAUUCGUAGAUAUUCGGAGGAACACCAGUGGCGAAGGCGGCUCACUGGCUCGAUACUGACGCUGAGGUGCGAAAGCGUGGGGAGCAAACAGGAUUAGAAACCCCUGUAGUCC
rnacentral:rRNA from 1 species